rnacentral:sRNA from 1 species
GGCAAAACAUCCAUGAUUGGACGCUGAUCGCAGUCUAGAGAAUGCGGUCCAGCUUCUUGUUGAUAUGCAGGUUCGGCAUCAAUCCCGCGCUUUGAGCGGCAUGAUAGGAUUCUCGCGCCGCAUCGAACGAGAUCGACCACAUAAUGGCGCUCAACAGGAGAGCGAUAAUAUAGAUCUGGAUACGCAUCGACCUGCCGAUACGGAAAGAGCAAGGCAGUUUUGUGU